UUCUGAGGCGCCAGUGGCCUGGAGUCUGGAAGGCCCUGAGCGGCGCCAGGCGACCGGCCUCGCCACAACUUGCCCAGACGAGACACGCUUCAUCUUGCACCCUGGAAGAAGGAGUCCGCCCGCCUGCUCCUCGGCCUCCACGAGCUCCGCCUGAGCCAGCAGAGCCCCUGGGAUCCGGGUCCCCUGAGACUCUCCGUCAGCCUGCAGCUCCCGGUACCCGCCCAGGAGCGCGCAGCUGGGGUGUUGGGGAUACAUCAGUGAGCAAGAGAGACCCCAGCCCUUGUUCCCGCUGAUCCUGCAGCCCAGUGGAUGGAGCCCUCAGUCCACAGACCUGCCAGGAAAGAAAAAAAUUUUCCUGGUGGUUGGUCCAAGCAGGGACUCCCCGGUGGAUUGAGGAAUGUCUGGCUUUUCCUCAGCUCCUUGAUCUCUGUGGUAACCACUGGAAGCCCCCAGAAGACUCCUAAAAUGAGAGGCCUGAAGUCUAUAAGUUGCUACUAGAAAUAUUUUAGUCUCUCCAGAAAAUAAUGCAACCCCCACACAAGUUUAUAAGGUAAAUACGAUGGCCUUGUAAAAAUUGGAGGGAAACUUGAUGGCUGAAGUACCCCACCAUCUGUUUUUUCCCUUCAGCAUUUUGGCAGUGCAUCUUUUUCAGAAGACAAACCUGGGGAGUUCUUUGGUUUGUACCUUUCUCAAAAUGUUAUGUUUAGGCUGCCAACCCAUAAGAGAAGAAAAAUUCCUUUAAAAUGUAUCUUGGAUAUAAGAAAUUUUAAUUUAAACAAUUUUAUUGUAGUAUAAUACAUAAAAUACAACCUUAAUUUUAAGCAUUCCAUUCCAUAAAUUUUGAUGAAUGUAUAUUCUCUUGUAAUCAGCCACAAUCAAAAUGUAGAAUAUUUCUACUACCCUAGAUUUUCCUCUUGCCCUUUUUCCUCUAUUUAAUUUUACACUGUUUUGUUGCUACCUGUCUUGGAGGUUGUGCGUAAAAGAUGAGGAUGAAUAGAUACUUCUAAUUUCAAAGCAUAAGCUAGGACAGUAGUGGAUGGAUAACCAGAGGAUGGCAGCUAGGACUAAAAGUUCCUGGGAUGUGGCUCCCCACUCCUGUUUUAAGGACAUUGAGUGUCCAGCCCCCCAAGACCAGGGAUGGUGGUGCCCUGGGGAGCGGGCUGCUAGGAAGGCCCUCUCUGAUGGACCAGUGUUGUCCACCCAGACUCAUCCACGAGGUUUUUUUUUUG